GAUGAACGCUAUCUACAGGCUUAACACAUGCAAGUCGAGGGACCGGCGCACGGGUGAGUACCACGUAUCCAACCAGCCCUUUACUCGGGGAUAGCCUUUCGAAAGAAAUAUUAAUACCCGAUGUAAAGAAUGGGGCUUCGUUCCAUUAGGUUGUUGGUGAGGUAAGGGCUAACCAAGCCUUCGAUGGAUAGGGGUUCUGAGAGGAAGGUCCCCCACAUUGGAACGGAGACACGGUGCAAACUCCUACGGGAGGCAGAAGUGAGGAAUAUUGGUCAAUGGGCGGUAGCCUGAACCAGCCAAGUAGCGUGAAGGAUGAAGGCUUAUGGGUCUUAAACUUCUUUUAGAUAAGAAUAUGUAUUAUAUGAAUAAGGAUCGGCUAACUCCGUGCCAGCAGCCGCGGUAAUAC
rnacentral:rRNA from 1 species